UGAGUACGAGACGCUAAGGCGUCGAAGUAGUGUAUGUCAUACUUCCAAGAAAAGCUUGCUCUGUCAUUCAUAAAAAAUGCCUGUACCAUAACCGACACAGGUGGGUAGGUAGAGUAUGCUAAGGGGCGCGAGAUAACUCUCUCUAAGGAACUCGGCAAAAUAACUCCGUAACUUCGGGAGAAGGAGUGCCUUAUUUAUAUAAGGUUGCAAUAACAAGAUCCAAGCAACUGUUUACCAAAAACACAGGUCUCCGCUAAGUCGUAAGACGACGUAUGGGGGCUGACGCCUGCCCAGUGCCAGAAGGUUAAAGAAGUUGGUUAGCAAUAGCGAAGCUGAUAACUGAAGCCCUGGUGAACGGCGGCCGUAACAAUAACGGUCCUAAGGUAGCGAAAUUCCUUGUCGGGUAAGUUCCGACCCGCACGAAAGGCGUAAUGAUUUGGAUACUGUCUCGGAGAGGGACUCGGUGAAAUAGACUUGUCUGUGAAGAUGCGGACUACCUGCACCUGGACAGAAAGACCCUAUGAAGCUUUACUGUAACUUGAAAUUGAAAUUGGACUUUAUUCGCGCAGUAUAGGUGGGAGGCGUUGAAAAUAAUCUUGCGGGACUAUUGGAGCCAUCAGUGAGAUACCACUCUUAUAAUGUUAGAUUUCUAACUUUGAAUCAUUAUCUGGUCAAAGAACAGUUUCAGGCGGGCAGUUUGACUGGGGCGGUCGCCUCCCAAACGGUAACGGAGGCGUACAAAGGUUUCCUCUGAACGGGUAGAAAUCGUAUCUAGAGUAUAAAGGCAAAAGGAAGCUUGACUGUGAGACCUACAAGUCGAGCAGGGACGAAAGUCGGUCUUAGUGAUCUGACGGUACUGAGUGGAAAGGCCGUCACUCAACGGAUAAAAGUUACUCUAGGGAUAACAGGCUGAUCUCCCCCAAGAGUUCACAUCGACGGGGAGGUUUGGCACCUCGAUGUCGGCUCAUCGCAUCCUGGGGCGGUAGUACGUCCCAAGGGUUGGGCUGUUCGCCCAUGAAAGCGGUACGCGAGCUGGGUUCAGAACGUCGUGAGACAGUUCGGUCCAUAUCCGGUGUAGGCGUUAGAAUAUUGAGAGGAGCCUUCUUUAGUACGAGAGGACCGAGAAGGACAUACCUCUGGUGUACCAGUUACCGUGCCAACGGUAAACGCUGGGUAGCUAUGUAUGGAGUGGAUAACCGCUGAAAGCAUCUAAGUGGGAAGCCCACCUCAAGAUGAG
rnacentral:rRNA from 1 species